rnacentral:lncRNA from 1 species
UCAGGUAGAGGGACUCCAGCCUGGUGCGCUCCUGAGGUCAUUAAUUUGAAGAGACAAGGAUGGAAUGGAUUCCAAGCUGAUAUAUGGAGUCUUGGCUGCACUGUCUUGGAGAUGUUAACUAAAAACCACCCGUACUAUGGUUUAGAACCUUGGACGAUAUGGUAUCAGAUUGGAGAAGGUAUACUGCCUAAAAUUCCUCAGACUCUCUCUGAGGAUUCGCAGAAAUUUAUUCUGAAAUGCCUGCAAGUUAAUCCAGAGAAACGUCCGACUGCCACCGAGCUUUUAAAGCAUAGAUUUGUUAAUAGGUCAUAGCAAGCAGCAGAACAUACCAAACUUCGUGUUAGUUUCAGCUUAAAUUGUGGAAUUUACUCAAUGUUUAACAGCAGUUUUUUCUUUAGUGCUAAAGGUUUGCUUCAGAUUUAUUUUUAGAUUGCUCAUCCUUUAUUAUAGAAUAUUAUUAUUUGUCAUUAUCAUUGAUAAAAUAUCUGUUGUUUUUAGGAUCAUUAACAUUGCUAAAAUUAGAAUAUAUAAUUGUUAACCAGAAUAUUUUGAUGCAAACAGAUAAAUACUUGUUUGGUUAUUUUACAGCUAUGUCAAUUGAAGCAACUAAGUCUGUACAGUCUACAUCAUUUGAUAGCUCCAGUCCAACAGCAUCAUUUGGAAGUUACGAAACAGCCACACCAAUAGAGAGUUUUGAACCUCUUAUAAUGUUUAAAAAACAGCAAUUCACAUGUGUAGAAAUAGACUGUGAGUGAUUCAGCACCAGAUGAGGAAUUGAUAAACAACUCAACAGAGGAGGAUAUNNNNNNNNNNNNNNNNNUCUACUGAGUUGGGAUGAGUUUGGAAGUUUUAGCACUCAUGUAGAAAGCAUGUUGAAUACUUGGCAGGUCAAAAUACUGGGUCGUGAUAUUCAGAAUUGGCAAAGGGGCUCAAUGUUGGGGAGUGGGUCAUUUGGAGAAGUCUAUAAAGGAAUGGAUGAUCCUCAUGGGUUCUUUUUUGCUGCAAAGAAAGUUCCACUUACUGAUGCACAAAAAGUCAGCUCAAUUGAGCGUGAGAUUGAUUUAUUAUGUCACCUACGUCAUGAAAAUAUAGUUGAAUAUUUUGGCACAAAAAGGGACGAAACGGAUCUCUAUGUUUUUCUUGAGUUUGUAAAUGGGGGCUCCAUUGAUAAAGUUUAUCGAGAGUUUCCCCUUAAUGAUUCCCAAGUGUCCUACUACACCAAAGAAAUACUGAAAGGUUUGGAGUAUCUCCAUGGAGAAGGUUUUGUGCAUGGGGACAUUAAAUGUGCAAACUUACUGUUGAAUGAGAAUGGAGUCGUGAAAAUUGCUGAUUUUGGAUUAGCAAAGGUAACUGACUUGAAGACUCUUCGCAAGUCAGGUAGAGGGACUCCAGCCUGGUGCGCUCCUGAGGUCAUUAAUUUGAAGAGACAAGGAUGGAAUGGAUUCCAAGCUGAUAUAUGGAGUCUUGGCUGCACUGUCUUGGAGAUGUUAACUAAAAACCACCCGUACUAUGGUUUAGAACCUUGGACGAUAUGGUAUCAGAUUGGAGAAGGUAUACUGCCUAAAAUUCCUGAGACUCUCUCUGAGGAUUCGCAGAAAUUUAUUCUGAAAUGCCUGCAAGUUAAUCCAGAGAAACGUCCGACUGCCACCGAGCUUUUAAAGCAUAGAUUUGUUAAUAGGUCAUAGCAAGCAGCAGAACAUACCAAACUUCGUGUUAGUUUCAGCUUAAAUUGUGGAAUUUACUCAAUGUUUAACAGCAGUUUUUUCUUUAGUGCUAAAGGUUUGCUUCAGAUUUAUUUUUAGAUUGCUCAUCCUUUAUUAUAGAAUAUUAUUAUUUGUCAUUAUCAUUGAUAAAAUAUCUGUUGUUUUUAGGAUCAUUAACAUUGCUAAAAUUAGAAUAUAUAAU